rnacentral:rRNA from 1 species
CGGGACACGUGGUAUCCUGUCUGAAUAUGGGGGGACCAUCCUCCAAGGCUAAAUACUCCUGACUGACCGAUAGUGAACCAGUACCGUGAGGGAAAGGCGAAAAGAACCCCGGCGAGGGGAGUGAAAAAGAACCUGAAACCGUGUACGUACAAGCAGUGGGAGCACGCUUAGGCGUGUGACUGCGUACCUUUUGUAUAAUGGGUCAGCGACUUAUAUUCUGUAGCAAGGUUAACCGAAUAGGGGAGCCGAAGGGAAACCGAGUCUUAACUGGGCGUUAAGUUGCAGGGUAUAGACCCGAAACCCGGUGAUCUAGCCAUGGGCAGGUUGAAGGUUGGGUAACACUAACUGGAGGACCGAACCGACUAAUGUUGAAAAAUUAGCGGAUGACUUGUGGCUGGGGGUGAAAGGCCAAUCAAACCGGGAGAUAGCUGGUUCUCCCCGAAAGCUAUUUAGGUAGCGCCUCGUGAAUUCAUCUCCGGGGGUAGAGCACUGUUUCGGCAAGGGGGUCAUCCCGACUUACCAACCCGAUGCAAACUGCGAAUACCGGAGAAUGUUAUCACGGGAGACACACGGCGGGUGCUAACGUCCGUCGUGAAGAGGGAAACAACCCAGACCGCCAGCUAAGGUCCCAAAGUCAUGGUUAAGUGGGAAACGAUGUGGGAAGGCCCAGACAGCCAGGAUGUUGGCUUAGAAGCAGCCAUCAUUUAAAGAAAGCGUAAUAGCUCACUGGUCGAGUCGGCCUGCGCGGAAGAUGUAACGGGGCUAAACCAUGCACCGAAGCUGCGGCAGCGACGCUGAUGCGUUGUUGGGUAGGGGAGCGUUCUGUAAGCCUGCGAAGGUGUGCUGUGAGGCAUGCUGGAGGUAUCAGAAGUGCGAAUGCUGACAUAAGUAACGAUAAAGCGGGUGAAAAGCCCGCUCGCCGGAAGACCAAGGGUUCCUGUCCAACGUUAAUCGGGGCAGGGUGAGUCGACCCCUAAGGCGAGGCCGAAAGGCGUAGUCGAUGGGAAACAGGUUAAUAUUCCUGUACUUGGUGUUACUGCGAAGGGGGGACGGAGAAGGCUAUGUUGGCCGGGCGACGGUUGUCCCGGUUUAAGCGUGUAGGCUGGUUUUCCAGGCAAAUCCGGAAAAUCAAGGCUGAGGCGUGAUGACGAGGCACUACGGUGCUGAAGCAACAAAUGCCCUGCUUCCAGGAAAAGCCUCUAAGCAUCAGGUAACAUCAAAUCGUACCCCAAACCGACACAGGUGGUCAGGUAGAGAAUACCAAGGCGCUUGAGAGAACUCGGGUGAAGGAACUAGGCAAAAUGGUGCCGUAACUUCGGGAGAAGGCACGCUGAUAUGUAGGUGAAGUCCCUCGCGGAUGGAGCUGAAAUCAGUCGAAGAUACCAGCUGGCUGCAACUGUUUAUUAAAAACACAGCACUGUGCAAACACGAAAGUGGACGUAUACGGUGUGACGCCUGCCCGGUGCCGGAAGGUUAAUUGAUGGGGUUAGCGCAAGCGAAGCUCUUGAUCGAAGCCCCGGUAAACGGCGGCCGUAACUAUAACGGUCCUAAGGUAGCGAAAUUCCUUGUCGGGUAAGUUCCGACCUGCACGAAUGGCGUAAUGAUGGCCAGGCUGUCUCCACCCGAGACUCAGUGAAAUUGAACUCGCUGUGAAGAUGCAGUGUACCCGCGGCAAGACGGAAAGACCCCGUGAACCUUUACUAUAGCUUGACACUGAACAUUGAGCCUUGAUGUGUAGGAUAGGUGGGAGGCUUUGAAGUGUGGACGCCAGUCUGCAUGGAGCCGACCUUGAAAUACCACCCUUUAAUGUUUGAUGUUCUAACGUUGACCCGU